rnacentral:tRNA from 1 species
CUCGGUGUGGCGCAGCUGGCAGCGCAUCGCGUUUGGGACGCGAGGGUCGCAGGUUCGAACCCUGCCGCCGAGACCA